rnacentral:piRNA from 1 species
UGGGAUUAAAGGCCUGUGCCACCACAU